rnacentral:rRNA from 1 species
UGGGGAAUCUUGGACAAUGGGGGCAACCCUGAUCCAGCCAUGCCGCGUGAGUGAUGAAGGCCUUAGGGUCGUAAAGCUCUUUCGCCUGUGAAGAUAAUGACGGUAGCAGGUAAAGAAACCCCGGCUAACUCCGUGCCAGCAGCCGCGGUAAUACGGAGGGGGUUAGCGUUGUUCGGAAUUACUGGGCGUAAAGCGCACGUAGGCGGACCAGAAAGUUGGGGGUGAAAUCCCGGGGGCUCAACCCCGGAACUGCCUCCAAAACUAUUGGUCUAGAGUUCGAGAGAGGUGAGUGGAAUUCCAAGUGUAGAGGUGAAAUUCGUAGAUAUUUGGAGGAACACCAGUGGCGAAGGCGGCUCACUGGCUCGAUACUGACGCUGAGGUGCGAAAGUGUGGGGAGCAAAACAGGAUUAGAUACCCUGGUAGUCCACACCGUAAAACGAUGAAUGCCAGUCGUCGGGGUAGCAUGCUAUUCGGUGACACACCUAACGGAUUAAGCA